UACAGAGGGUGCAAGCGUUAAUCGGAAUUACUGGGCGUAAAGCGUGCGUAGUCGGUUAUCUAAGUCGGGUGUGAAAUCCCCGGGCUCAACCUGGGAAUUGCAUUCGAUACUGGAUAGCUAGAGCUCGGCAGAGGGAAGCGGAAUUUCGGGUGUAGCGGUGAAAUGCGUAGAUAUCCGAAGGAACAUCAGUGGCGAAAGCGGCUUCCUGGACCAGAACUGACGAUCAGGCACGAAAGCGUGGGGAGCAAACAGG
rnacentral:rRNA from 1 species